UAUGUGGGGCAGUGGUGAUCCUAUAGGGCGCUAUGGGGCUGCGCUAUGGGGCUGUGUGCCCUCCCAUCGCGCCGCCCCCGCUCUCCCGCCCCACAUUUCCUCCCAGCUGCUUCCUGGGCCCCCCCGGGACGGCCCCGCUCUGCCCCACACGUUCCCCCAUUCCCCGCCGCGCUGUGGGGCUGACGGGGCCGCCAUGGUGAGGGCGGCAUGUGGGGCGCAGAUCUGAGCAUGUCCCGGCCCCACGACGAGGGGGAGCGACACGGGGGGAGCAGCAGCAGCAGCAGCAACAACAGCAGCACAGACACAGAAAGAAAUGGACCCGACACGAACCACCAGG